rnacentral:pre_miRNA from 1 species
AAAAAAGCAAACCCUGGGUUUCCGUGUCCAACGUUUGACUGUCCGUCUUAUAUGAAAUUUUUUUAUAAUUAGUAUUUUCAUUAUUGUUAGAUGAUAAAACAUGAUUAAUACUUUAUGCGUGACUUGUCUUUUUUAAAUUUUUUAUAAUUUUUUCAAAUAAGACAGACGGUCAAACGUUGGACACGGAAACCUAGGGUUUGUCUUUUU